rnacentral:rRNA from 1 species
GACGAACGCUGGCGGCGUGCUUAACACAUGCAAGUCGCACGGGGCUGGGGGCAACUCCAGCUCAGUGGCGGACGGGUGCGUAACACGUAAGCAACAUGUCCAAGGGUGGGGAUAGCCGGCCCGAACGGCCGGGUAAUACCGCAUGCAGUCACCGGCGGCAUCACAGGUGACGAAAGCCGGGGCAACCUGGCGCCCAUGGAGUGGCUUGCGGCCUAUCAGCUAGNGGUGGGGUAA